UUCAUUGUUUUAGUUUCACAGGAAAAAUUGGAAGGUUCUUCUGUCUGGCACUGCAGUGAUGGACAAAAGAUGCAACCCCAACUUUCAGGUAAAGAAUCAGCAUCCACAUAGCUCCCUUUGGAAGAUGCCUAGAGGACCUACAGAUUUAUUUGAAGACCUGUUGAAGAUGAUCUGGAAAAAGAAACUGCAGGCAAAAUAUUGAUUUGUUGAUGAGAAGACUGCAUUUUAAUACUGUAACUUCAGUGUUGCCAUGCAGAUAAUUUCUUCAAGUAGCUAAACCAAUUAAUCUGGUUAAGUUUUACUUCCACAACAGAUACACCCCCCCCCCCAAUUCACCCUGUUGAUUUUUUGUUGCAAAGUUGGGGUUUGGAUUAUGAAUAUGAAUAUCUUAGCUUUGUUAUUUACUUGCUUAAAUGCUGUUCUGUAUUUUGAAUGGUAAUUAUAUUAGUUAUAUCAUCAGCAACAACAACAACAAUAAUAAUAAUUAAAAAAGACAAUAUUCUAAAAGGGAAAAGAAGUUUUACUUCAGUCAUUUCCAGGUUAAGUUCUCUAAUUCUGUGCUGAUCAUUACAAAUAAUGAAAAUACACUUGAAAUUUAUCUGCCAGAAAGAGAUGGGAUGUAACACAAUGCAAUCUGUCAAGCUAUUCAUGAACAACUGUUUCCAUUCAGUAUGAACUCAGUAUACAUUAUUUCUGUGAAAAGGAAGAAAAUAAAAAUUCUAUGGUUUAAUGGAGCCA
rnacentral:lncRNA from 1 species